UUGUCUAUAAGGGCAUAUCUGCACUGGAAACUUCAAAUUGCUACCAUGGGAACGCUCUUGUAGCAGCGCUUUGAAGUGCGAGUGUGGUCACGUGCGAG